AUACGUAGGGGGCGAGCGUUGUCCGGAAUGAUUGGGCGUAAAGGGCGCGUAGGCGGCGCGGUAAGUCUGGAGUGAAAGUCCUGCUUUCAAGGUGGGAAUUGCUUUGGAUACUGCCGCGCUUGAGUGCAGGAGAGGUUAUCGGAAUUCCCGGUGUAGCGGUGAAAUGCGUAGAGAUCGGGAGGAACACCAGUGGCGAAGGCGGGUAACUGGACUGCAACUGACGCUGAGGCGCGAAAGUGUGGGGAGCAAACAGGAUUAGAUACCCUGGUAGUCCACACGGUAAACGAUGAAUGCUAGGUGUAAGAGGUAUCGACCCCUUUUGUGCCGGAGUCAACACAAUAAGCAUUCCGCCUGGGGAGUACGGCCGCAAGGUUGAAACUUAAAGGAAUUGACGGGG
rnacentral:rRNA from 1 species